ensembl:lncRNA
GUUCAAUGUAUCCAGUCCUUUUUUUUAUUUCAAACAUCAAGAUGGAGUAAUUUAGUAUUUGGGGAGGGCAGGGAACACUUAGGACAUCAGAACUGUAUUGCUAUUUAUUAUUUGCAUCCUCUAAUAACCAACCUAGCCCCAAUCAACAAUACAGUCUUCAAAAUUCCUUUAAUCAAACAGGAUUUUCAGGAGAUGUUUAUAUUAAUAAGCAGACUAAGUGCCAAGUUUACAUUUGCUUUCUCCUUUAUGCACCACCAGGAUGCGUGCAUUGAGAGUGGAAUACAUGACCAGCAAAUGAAUGGGUAAGUGUCACACGCAAACAGCAUGACUAGAAAUUUAAGAAGCAAAGCGAUAAGAACCUUAGGGAAAGCAAAAUUCAUAAAAGUUUAGAAUUACAAGAGGCCUUAAUAGACCAUUUAAUCCAUUCUGAUGACAACUCCAGACAGAUGACAAUCUAUCCUAUUUUUAAAAGCCUCCAGAUUUCCAACCUCCCUAGAUGUCUCAUUCUGCCAUAUAAUUCUGUCAUGUGAUUUGGGGGAAAUAUUACAAGACUAUCCUUUGCCCUACCUAAUGAUCUAUUUUCUCAAAUAAUAGAACAAUACAUUUUAACUCACUUCCAAGAUACGCAAACGUGUACAGGUGCAUAAUACACAUGCAUGUAUAUAUAUAUGCACAUAUAUGCACACAGGCACCUAAGACACUCAGUUUUGCUUGUAUAAACACACACUAUAGAAACCCAGACAAGCAAAGGCACAUAUCCACCCUAUCCCAAUCAAAAAAGCACUAACAACAUCAAAUAACGAUUUUGACCUAAAAAUAACCAAUGGAAAUUAAUUUUAUAAAACCUUUAAGGUAACCAGGUUUCUUCUAUGAAUAAACAAAGCUUAUCUGUUUUCCACAAGUACUGCUUCUUUUCAGUACCCACCACAGGCAGAAUUCUAAAAACACAUAUGUACUGGAUCCAAGCAGAAAGUAAUUUGUUAAUGUUUGAUUGUUAAAACCAUUUAGCUAACAAUCAUUUUGGAAGAGGGCCCAAUGAAAUAGAUAGCAAUGACAGAGUACAGCCAGUGAUAACGAACAAGUAACCAGUUUUAAUCAAGCAGGCCAAAGAAGUGACUCAAAUAAAACAAAUCAUUUUUGGAACAUAUAUAGAAUGGGGAAGUCCCAAUCAACAAUGAGCCAAAUACUACUUGAAAAAAUUAAGCGUUAGGAAAUACACUAAAAUGUUAACCAUGACAUGCUAUCUCUAGAAAUUGAAUUACAAGGAUGAGUUAGUUUGUUCAGAUUUGGUAUUCCUAUUAUUCUGAUUAUCCAUAUUUUCUACUGUAUUAUAGACAAUAUUUUAAAAUUAAGGCAAAUUCUGUCCCCGUGUUUCACAGCAAUUUAGGAUGGAGAGCAUGUCUUUUAUAUAACCUCCAGAGAGAGGUGGUACCAGCUCCGGUCCUCCCCGUGUCUCCCGUGAACCUGCCACCCAUCACAGAAAAGGUUUCAUCAUUUUCCCUGGGACAGCUCCCUGUCAUCAUCAUCCUCAUCUCAUCCCACAGGCUAAACAAUGCAUCUCGUCUCCCCUCCAGGUAGCAGAGGCUUUAUAAAUUAUUUUAUCGAAGUGGGAGAUUUGGAGAAAGGUUCACUAAGAUGAUAAGCUGCCCAAGGCAGAGGAAAGGAGAAAGACACCUCGUCCCAACCUCCACCCCUCAGAAGGCAGACGGCAACAGGGGGCACCGGGGUCACGGCUCUCUCGGAUCCCGAAAGAGUCGGGCAGCCGCACCCCCAGCCCGACCCCGGCCAGGACAGCGGCGCUCGUUAGCGAAAAAGGGGUGGGGGAGAAGGUCCGAGAUCCGACCCGGAGGGCCGAGAGACAUGUGCGGCGAGCGGCGGGAGGGGCGGGUCCUUCCGCCCUCUGGGGCGAGCGGCUCGGCUUCGAACGCGGCUCUGAAGGCGCUCGGGCAGCGGGAGGCCUCCGGGGCUGGAGGGCCGCACCGCGCCGAGGGCUCCCACAGGCCUCGCCCGCCGCCCACCCGGGACCCCGGCGGCCCCGCUCGACAGCGGCCCGGGAACGGUCCCAGCCGGCCCUGCCCGCCGGCGCGGCACAGGCGGCCAGGAGGGCAGAAGAUGAGGGGUUACCGUACGCUGCUCCGGAGCUAGCAGGGUUAGGACGCGGCUCCAGCGACCCGAAGCCGGCUCGGCAGCGGCUGCGGCGGCCGCGUCCUUUAUUUUUGCUGCAGCAGCGGCGACUUGUCAAAGGGAACGACGUAAGAGGCGGUGGCAGCGGCGGCAGGUCUUUGUUGAAUGCCUACCAUAAACCAGGAACUGAUUAUACUAAGUUGAGCAAGCUUUACUAUCUGCUCUCAAGGAGCUUAUUGUCUAACUGGAGGAUGCAGAAAAGAAAAUAGAUAAUUAUAACACCAUGUGAAGAGAGUGCAAGUGACAAGGGUAUGAGAGGAAGGAUCCAGUGAAAGGAAGGACAAAGAGCGGAAAUGCUUCUUGGAGAAGGAGGUUUAGGAGGAUGGCACACAUAAUGAGGAUCCAGCUCAUUUCAUGAACAGUGAUUCACAAAUCAACUCCAAAAUAACUUCAACAAAUUGCUCUGUUGUGGGUUGUGAAUUCUGCUUUGUUCUAAUCAAACUCAUAUAUCUCCUAAAC